GUGCUCGCUUUCACAGCUCAUAUACUAAAAUUGGAAUGAUACAGAGAAGAUUAACAUGGCCUCUAUGCAAGGAUGACAUCCAAAUUCGUGGAGCGUUCCAUAUUAAA